rnacentral:lncRNA from 1 species
UUUAUCAGUACAUAUUCAUCACACAACCAUGAAGUUUGUUUUAGUUACUUGCUUACAUGAUUAGUCAUUUUUCUACAUCAUGCUCAUGUUUUAGGUUAAUCUUCAGCAACCUAAUAAUGUCUACAGAAGCUACAAGAACUUGUAUGAUUUAACCUUUUACUCAUGUAAUCUCCAUGACCAUUUUCCGAAUGAUUCUGUGCAACUCAACUUGUCUUGGCAACAGGAUAAUUGUUUAGCAGACCUUUUUUCAUGUAAGAAGCUUGGAAAUAUUGCAAUCACAUCGUGGUAUACUUGCAACCCAAGGCACCAAAAAAUGUAAGGACGUGCUUCUCUGAUCCCAAGGGUUGUUGAUUCAGUCAGCUUGAUAACUUAAUGCUUCACAACAUCGAAAAUGAUGUUAAAAAUAUCACAAUUGAUGCACUCCUCAUAGUUCAGAAUUUCCUUCAAUGUACUUCGCCUUUUCUAUUCUGUAUUUUAUGGCAUAUGCUAGGUUGAUUUUAGAUUGGAUGUAGCAUGAUAUGCCUUCUUCUGUAGAUACAAAUUAGAAAACUAGCAGAAGUUUCUUCUGAUUGGAAAAUUAAUGCUACUGCAGCAUUUUUAAGAAGUGACACACUAAAUUACUUUGUGAAAUUAUAUUAUUCUGACUAGAAGAAUUACUCUAUAUGAUUCUUUUAUACUUGAAAGAAUAUAUGCUUCUCAUAUGUACCAUAUGGAUUCUUCAAAAAUUCUCCAAUUAACUCUCUGAUUUCUUAGCUAAAAGAUCUCAAGUUUCUAGUCAGAAUAAUUUCACCAAGUAGGAUCCAUACAAUUUGCAUUCGCAAGCCUCCUGUGUUUUUUAUUAUUCCAGAAAGCAUCAAAUGAGUACACACAUGCAACAUCUGAAAACUCCUAAUACAUGUGGCAAUCUCUCCUGGUCAAGAUGCAUUGAAAGCAUUGAACCAUAUGAUGUUAAGAUUUAGAUCCUUGUUUUUAUAUAUACCUUACAAUUGUUUAUCACAGGAAAGGAAUGACAGAAUCAGCAGCUGCUGUUCUCGCCUCUAUUAUGUCAUGAUAUACCAACAAAAUAUACUGUUCUCAACUCUAUUAUGUCAGCAGCAGCAAAGUUGUUACAUAUGAGAUUUCUAUCAUAUUAUUGGCUGGUUCUAAGUAUGAGAAUUCAGAUCCUCAUGGGAGAUCCAUUAUCGAGAGGGAUCUACAUCCGUCAAAAUCACAGGUAUUUGAGACUGUCAUAUGAUUUUGAUGGGCACUGUUGAGAUUCAAUCAAAGACGUAAUGGAUGGUUUGGUUGCGUCGUAUACCUCCAUUACUCGAGGAGAUAACAAAAACUCAAAGUUAGAAGAUUGAAGAAAUAAAUGGAAGAUAGUUUGAAUUUUGUGCAUACUCAAGUUUAAGCUGUUUUAGAUUUAAUAGUAGGUGCAUAACACGUAGCUUGAUGAUUUUUCUCAAUAAAGUAUCAAUACAUGAUUGUUCCACCAUAAUACUUUGCUGUUCUGAUUAGUUUAUGGCAGUGACUUUUUGCAUCUGCCGAGUUUACUAGUGACAACAUGUAAGGAGUUUUAUAUCUGAACUUGAUAUGGUUGUCAUCUUGACAAGGAUGCAAUUUUGAUACCGUGUUUUACAUCUGAUGCACAUGACAUUUGGCUCUGAGCUGGUUUCAGGCUUUUAGAGCAACUGAUAUUUUUCGCCGCCGAAAGUUUGAUCAUGCUGUCCAUGUGUUUUCUCAUGCAUUUUCUUCUUUUCUAUUUUUUCUUUUGUGGUGUGACUGCAUUUGAUGCAAAGUCAUUGUUAACAUCAAAAUACUAUCCAACUUUUAGCAGAAGGAAUUAUGGAGAUGGUGUUUGUGCUGCGAAUAGCUUUUCUUUCUUUUUUUUCCCAUCGUUUUCUUUUUGAUGGUUCUCCUCGUCUCUUUCUUGAUGGGACUUGAGAUUCUUCUUGAAUCAUUAUUUGGUUGGU